AACGCUGGCGGCAGGCCUAACACAUGCAAGUCGAGCGCUACCUUCGGGUGGAGCGGCGGACGGGUUAGUAACGCGUGGGAACGUACCCAGAUCUAAGGAAUAGCCACUGGAAACGGUGAGUAAUACCUUAUACGCCCUUCGGGGGAAAGAUUUAUCGGAUUUGGAUCGGCCCGCGUUAGAUUAGAUAGUUGGUGGGGUAAUGGCCUACCAAGUCUACGAUCUAUAGCUGGUUUUAGAGGAUGAUCAGCAACACUGGGACUGAGACACGGCCCAGACUCCUACGGGAGGCAGCAGUGGGGAAUCUUGGACAAUGGGCGCAAGCCUGAUCCAGCCAUGCCGCGUGAGUGAUGAAGGCCUUAGGGUCGUAAAGCUCUUUCGCCAGAGAUGAUAAUGAC
rnacentral:rRNA from 1 species